CCCCUGGCUUUUGAAGUUCUUCACCGACUCAGCCCAGCGGAUGUUUUCCGAUGCCAAUCCCCCUACCAGCCUGAAUGGAAACACGAGGUGGCAACCAGAACACAUAAAAUGAUGGGUGUGGCCCCAGUCCCUUUGGACAGCCCUGCUCUGGAAGCCCCGGAAGCCGGCGCCCACACCACGGGCGCUUCUCCUGCGCCUCCGCCAGCUCGGCAUUCGCCUCCUCCAGGGCCUGCCUCUUGGGGGCCACGUCACAAUACACCUCGUAGAAGCGCA